GAGAGAAAUGAAAUGCAAUCCUCUGAUAUCGAUUAUCAAUUCGGAGCCAUCAACGUUAAAUAGAUAUUUUCUCUGAAAUUAAACAAGAAUUCCUUCCUUUAAUUCUUAUAUUCAAAAGAAAAUACGCGAAAUGUUUUUUUAUAUAUAUUCAAUUCAAUUUAUUAUUGAAUGAAUUAACUAUUUAUAUCUAUACCGGUUUACCAAAUUUUAACCAUCAUCACCAUCAACAAAAACCGGUCAACUCUCAUGGAAUUGCGCCAUCAGAAACAAAACAGAGAUUUGAGAACUGUGUUUCGAGUUAUUAAAUUUUCGUUAAACCCAAUGGAUAAAUGGCUUUGAAUUCGUGUAAAAACUUCGAAAAAGCUAAUAUGGAAAUUCAACGUUUAUAGUUUCUUAAAACUAUUUCGUUUUUGGUGAAUAUUUGAAAAUCGGCUACAUUUCGAAGAUAUAGAGAACUUAAGCUGAAAUCGAAACAAAAUCUCAGUAUUACUUGAAUGUACACUGAAGUAGGGGAUUCUGCAGUUUUACUCGAGAAUGGACGGUGGUCGAGAAAUGGACGCCAUCGACGGCAUAUGAAGGCGUAACUAACUUUCGUAUGAAAUAAAGAUUGACGAUAUCCGUGCAGUUUCUCCAGCUCUAUGAUAUUCCCAAUUAUUUUAAAUGGAAAAAACAUGGGGGAAGAUAGUCGCCCUUUUGUCUUGUAAUUUAUUAAAACAGAAAACUUUGUGUUUUCUUUGAAAGUGAUUAUUUUAAAUAUCUACUCAUUAAUUUUAAUUCCAGUUAAAUAUAAAUAAGUCAGCGAUUCUCAACCUGUGGGGCGUCCCCUCUAGGGAGGCGCGAGCACACUAGAGGAGGGGGGGGGGGCGCGAGAAUAUUCAAGAGAAAAUAUUUUAAAAAAUUGAUUAACUGACUGAAAGGAAAGCACGCUACACAUAGAAAACAAGAUACAUUUCGACAUAUUUAAUAACUUAUAAAAGUAAAAUAACUUACUAAAUCAAAACUUACUUAAUCAAAACAUACUAAAUUAAAAACAAAUUUAAUAAUUAUUAGUGACUUUCUUGGGCCUGUCUUGCAAAGUAAAGUUUUUCGAAGGAAGGCUUAGUAUUAAAAAUAGCCACUCUCAGUUCUGUUUCUAUAUUUUGUCUUCAAAGAAGCCUGAGCAGAAAAUCCAGUUUCACAAAAGUUGGAUGUUGAAAAUGGUAAUAGAAUGUGAAAUGCCCUUGUUUCUAAUGCAGAAAAAUCAUCCUUACUCCUGCCCAAAAUUCAAAUAGCAAUUUAUUACUAAAUUGUCUAUUAGUUUCGUCACUUAUCGUGAAGUCUGAAUUUUUCUUCCUCAUCAAUUGAGAGUCCUUCGGGAGUCUUAUGAAAUGGAUCCCUAACCCACUCGUAACUUGCUAUCAGUUUGUCGUCAGCAAGAAAAUACUUUUUAAAUUCUUUACCAGCAUGUCUAAAAGAUUUUCAAUGGUUGCAAAACAACUUUUACAUGUUCUUCUUCAACCUUGUAAGUUUUAGUACAAUCAUCCACAUUUGCAAAUAUAAGCUAGGUUUUUUGCUUUAAAUUUCUGCUCUACAAUUCCAAUUUUCUCCAAAAGUAUUAACUUUCCCACUCGUAUCCAACAUACGCAUGUGUAUUUGCUCCUUGGAGUUGAAGAUUCAAGUUAUUUAAUUUCUCGAAUAUGUCGACCAAGUACCUCCAUUUCAUCACAAAUAAAUCAUCACGAAAAUUCUCGGCCUCCUGUCUGUUUUCUUCUGCUAGGAAAUUGGCGAUUUCUUCUCUUUAUUCAUAAACACGUUGCAAAAAUUUCCCACGUGAUGACCAUCUUGCCUCGCAAUAAAAUAGUAAUGCUGAAUGUAUUGAAACCCAUGUCUUUACAAAGAGAGAAAAUGUAUUCCCAGUUUCUAAAUUUAGCUCACCCCGUCUAGGUUAACUUUCAUUAAUGAAUUUCUUUACUUUCAUAUUCUUUUAACGUUAUCUCCCUGUUUGGCUUUCAUUUCAAAUAUAAUAUUUAAAUUUUGCUGCUUUCAUUUGCUUCAUCUGUUUACCGGUCUGUAUCAUCUGUUAUCCGGCUUGUCCAAAAUGCAAGAUGUAGUUUCUCGCCAACGUUGGCUCGCUUUUUCUCUUGUUUUGGCAGUUUGUUAAAAAUAAUUUAAAAACAGAAUCCAAAAUAUUCAAUAUACAUUAUUGUUGUAUACAUUUUAUUAUAAGCGGGGGGCGCGAUGAAAAUUAUGAUUGAAAACUGGGCCGCAAAUAUUGAAAGGUUGAGAAACGCUGAAAUAAGUCAUGCAUUGAGUUGCAUCCUUGUUGAAUAAAUGCUUUUGUAUCCAUAUUGUGCAAACCGAAAUUGCAGAAUGCAAUUUUCUAAUUAUAUUUUGAUAAUUUACAUAUUGUGGAUUCAGAAUAUUUUGCGUAUUAUGAAUUGUAUAUAAUGUGAAUUUCUAUAAUGUGUAUAUUAUAUGCAUUUUGUUAAUUGAUUUUUUUUGUGUGCAUAAGAAUUUCAAUUUUCCUUAAGAUAAUUUGAAAAUUCGAUUCAGAAAUGAUUCCUUUAAUUUUCUUUGUUCACUAAGAUAUGUAAAUAAAUAAUUUGCAUUUUCUGAAAUGUGCAUAAUGUGAAUUAUUAUGCUGUGCACAUCAUAUUUAUUCAUUGAUUUGGUCCUUGUCAUAUUAUAUGGCAAAACAAAAUUUGACAGUGAUUUAAUUUCGACUUAGUUGGAAUAAGAAUUCCAAUUUUCUCUAAGGUAAUUUUGAAAUUUGAUUUAGGAGUGGUUCCUUUAAUUUUCUUUGUUCAGCAAGCUGCGUGAAUGUAUAUUCUAUAUAUUUUGAAUUGUACCUUUGUUAUACGAUGUUGUAAAACAAGAAAAACGUAGUUUUUUAAAAAAAAUUUAGUAUUGAACGUAACACCUUGUAAAAUUUUAUAAAA